rnacentral:rRNA from 1 species
UACGGAGGGAGCUAGCGUUAUUCGGAAUUACUGGGCGUAAAGCGCACGUAGGCGGCUUCGUAAGUUAGAGGUGAAAGCCUGGAGCUCAACUCCAGAAUUGCCUUUAAGACUGCAUCGCUUGAAUCCAGGAGAGGUGAGUGGAAUUCCGAGUGUAGAGGUGAAAUUCGUAGAUAUUGGGAAGAACACCGGUGGCGAAGGCGGCUCACUGGCUCGUUACUGACGCUCAGGCGCGACAGCGUGGGGAUCAAACAGG